AAUCAACGCUGGCGGCGUGCCUAACACAUGCAAGUCGAACGCGAAAGCCCGCAAGGGUAAGUAGAGUGGCGCACGGGUGAGUAACACGUGGACAACCUGCCUUCGAGUGGGGAAUAACCUUCCGAAAGGAGGGCUAAUACCGCAUAACACCUCGGGACACAAGUUCUGGGGUUGAAAAGAGCAAUUUGCUCGAAGAGGGGUCCGCGCCUGAUUAGCUAGUUGGUGAGGUAACGGCUCACCAAGGCUUCGAUCAGUAGCCGUCCUGAGAGGGAGCACGGCCACACUGGAACUGAGACACGGUCCAGACUCCUACGGGAGGCAGCAGUGGGGAAUUUUGGCAAUGGGCGAAAGCCUGACCAAGCAACGCCGCGUGGGUGAUGAAGUAUCUUGGUACGUAAAACCCUUUCGGCAGGGACGAACCUAAUGACGGUACCUGCGGAAGAAGCCCCGGCUAACUCCGUGCCAGCAGCCGCGGUAAG
rnacentral:rRNA from 1 species